UCCGGAGGGUGCAAGCGUUAAUCGUAAUUACUGGGCGUCGCGCGCGCGUAGGUGGCUUGAUAAGCCGGUUGUGAAAGCCCCGGGCUCAACCUGGGAACGGCAUCCGGAACUGUCAAGCUAGAGUGCAGGAGAGGAAGGUAGAAUUCCCGGUGUAGCGGUGAAAUGCGUAGAGAUCGGGAGGAAUACCAGUGGCGAAGGCGGCCUUCUGGACUGACACUGACGCUGAGGUGCGAAAGCGUGGGUAGCAAACAGG
rnacentral:misc_RNA from 1 species